rnacentral:misc_RNA from 1 species
AAACGCCGUUACCAAACGGUACGUACGGUGUUGUGAGAGGUCGGUCACUCAAUUAAUGGGUGACCUCCUACUCGAU